rnacentral:rRNA from 1 species
GAUGAACGCUGGCGGCGUGCUUAACACAUGCAAGUCGAACGGAAAGGCUCCUGCUUGCCGGGGUACUCGAGUGGCGAACGGGUGAGUAACACGUGGGUGAUCUGCCCUGCACUUCGGGAUAAGCCUGGGAAACUGGGUCUAAUACCGGAUAGGACGAUGGUUUGGAUGCCAUUGUGGAAAGUUUUUCGGUGUGGGAUGAGCUCGCGGCCUAUCAGCUUGUUGGUGGGGUAAUGGCCUACCAAGGCGUCGACGGGUAGCCGGCCUGAGAGGGUGUACGGCCACAUUGGGACUGAGAUACGGCCCAGACUCCUACGGGAGGCAGCAGAGGGGAAUAUUGCACAAUGGGCGCAAGCCUGAUGCAGCGACGCCGCGUGGGGGAUGACGGCCUUCGGGUUGUAAACUCCUUUCGCUAGGGACGAAGCGCAAGUGACGGUACCUGGAGAAGAAGCACCGGCUAACUACGUG